rnacentral:rRNA from 1 species
UUGAACGCUGGCGGCAGGCCUAACACAUGCAAGUCGAGCGGAUGAAGGGAGCUUGCUCCUGGAUUCAGCGGCGGACGGGUGAGUAAUGCCUAGGAAUCUGCCUGGUAGUGGGGGAUAACGUCCGGAAACGGGCGCUAAUACCGCAUACGUCCUGAGGGAGAAAGUGGGGGAUCUUCGGACCUCACGCUAUCAGAUGAGCCUAGGUCGGAUUAGCUAGUUGGUGGGGUAAAGGCCUACCAAGGCGACGAUCCGUAACUGGUCUGAGAGGAUGAUCAGUCACACUGGAACUGAGACACGGUCCAGACUCCUACGGGAGGCAGCAGUGGGGAAUAUUGGACAAUGGGCGAAAGCCUGAUCCAGCCAUGCCGCGUGUGUGAAGAAGGUUUUCGGAUUGUAAAGCACUUUAAGUUGGGAGGAAGGGCAGUAAGUUAAUACCUUGCUGUUUUGACGUUACCAACAGAAUAAGCACCGGCUAACUUCGUG